rnacentral:tRNA from 2 species
GCCGUACUAGAGAAAUGGUUAACUCGUCGGCCUCCUAUUGCAAAGUCAAUAAGCCGAAGAUUCCCGGUUCGAGUCCGGGGUGCGGUG